GUGCUCGAGUGGUGAACGGGUGAGUAACACGUGAGUAACCUGCCCUUGACUUUGGGAUAACUUCAGGAAACUGGGGCUAAUACCGGAUAGGAGCUCCUGCUGCAUGGUGGGGGUUGGAAAGUUUCGGCGGUUGGGGAUGGACUCGCGGCUUAUCAGCUUGUUGGUGGGGUAGUGGCUUACCAAGGCUUUGACGGGUAGCCGGCCUGAGAGGGUGACCGGCCACAUUGGGACUGAGAUACGGCCCAG
rnacentral:rRNA from 1 species